AAUUUCAACAUCAUCAUGCAUCUCAUCAUCUUUCUCAUCACCAAUGACAAGCAUCACAUCUUCAUUACUAGGAUCCAUAAUAGGACUUGUGGAAGCACCUUGAUUUGAAUUAUAAGGGGAACUUGACAUACCCUACUUGCAAUAGGAAAAGAAAUAAUUAGAAAAAUCAAACUACUGAUCAAUGGAAAAUUAAAGAAACUAUAUUAGUAUAAUUAAACAAAAUAUGUACUAUUUACUAAUGAAUUAACAAAGACGCUAUUAACUGAUAAACAAUAAUGAAUUUGACAUUUUCUAACACAACACAAAAAUAUAAAAUAUUAAUCGCUCCAGAAACUAAAGUUUCAAUUUAAAGGUAAAAAUAUAUAAUUGAGCUCUCAUUCUAAAGUUUAAGAAAAUACAAAUAGAAAUAUCCAAUUACUUGUAUUUUUAACAAAAAACCAACUGAGAUAAAAAAUCAAAAGACAUUUGAGCAGAAAAUAACAUAAAUAGUCAACAAGUGGGAUGUGGUUAGAUCUUUCUCUGAUAAACAAGACUUUACUAGAUUUUCACUGUCAAAAUCACUAAACUUUAUAUUUAGAUCCUUACCUAUUAUGAUUUCCCAAAAUUGAUUAGAUUUUCACUGUCAAACCUUACUAGACUUUGCAUUUAGGUUCGUCUUCAAUGAAGUGACAAAUUAAUGACAUAAUUUUAUAAGCAACUUGACUUGCAUGUCUAUCUAACUCGACAUUUUAAAAUUUUUGAAAAUUCUAACAAAAUAGGCAACAAGAAGAAAAUCAUAAUGGGCAAAAGAAUUUACAAGAUUUUUCUAUGGUUCUUAAGCUCAACAAAGAGAAUAAUUUAGUUGUUACUAGCAUUGUAGAGGAUCCAAAAUUCAAUUCUCGAAGUCAAAAGACAUUUGGGAAGAAAAUAAGAUAAAUAGUCAGUAACUAGUUUAGAAAGUAACCCUAAAAUUGUUAAAAUUGAAAAAUCUAAAAUUCAAUAAAUUAGAGUUAAACAACAUCAAAGUUUUAAGCAAAUAAAAUUAGCAUACCUUAGAGAGAUAAUGCUAGGCACCUCGGACCCUCGGUGAUGACACCUGUAGUAGUAAGGAUCGUGGCCAUUUGUAGAAGCCUAAAAGGAGAAGGUUUGGUGGUGUGAAAUUGAAAGAGAAAUUUGGGAAGGUUUGGUGGUGAUGAACUUGAUGAUGGCUAACGGACGAGUGGUAGUGGUGGCAAGCGAC
rnacentral:lncRNA from 1 species